GAAACGGCAGCCUGCAGAGCCCAGCUCGGAGGCGGGCUGGGAAGAAGCCAGCGCCGCGCGGUCGCAGACAGCCUCUCUGGCCUUCGUGCUUCAGCCUUGCUCACAGGGCAGAAGCCGCCUGCGCUGCUGACUCGCGGCGACUUCUUCCUGGUCCCGUGGGCAGCCUCUCCCUGCACCCAGUUCUUCGGAUUCCUCACCCGUGAGCUCACGCCAGCGCCACCCUUUCAGCCACACGCGGACUCCCCAGGCACCUCCCUGCCUGCCGUGCUGCCAGCCUGUGGACCCUUCCCACUUCCCCACCCGGGCCUGGCCCGAGGCCUCAGGCUCUGCUGGCAGAUGUGGCAGCUCUGCCGGCGCAGUGUGCAGUCGGAAGGCGGUGGUGACCGCGUGGCUGCAGGAGGGCUGCCAGGCGCCAGGGCAGGGCGGAGGUCGUUGGCGAGUGACCCACGGAGCCCAACGCACGCGCGCCCAAGGGGCCACCACGGUCACCUAAGGAGCAGGAACAACCGGUUUGGGUGGAACUAGGACCAGGGAUUUCACAGAUAACCUGGUUUAGCUCUCACCUCAUCUAAGGAGGGCAUGGACCGAGGAUCCUUCCACAGGCACUUAUAGUAACAGAACAAGUGGCUAGAAGAAAUUCUGUCUUAAACACCUAACCUGCCAGCAGUCGCCUUCAGCCGAGCUCUGGUGCUGCGGAAAAAGUCGGCUCCUACACCGGAGUGGAUGAAUGUUGGUUUAUGAUGGGGGAACCAGGCCAAUUACCUCAGGCAUCAUUCUUACAAGGGGACCCAAAGGUUGAAUUAAAGCAUAGCCUCAAUGGAGAUGAGCAUUUAAUGUGAAGGAGAAUGAAACACCGGGAUUUGAAAGGGAGUGGAUGCAUUGGAUGGAUACUUUACCUCCUGAGAGCUGAGCCAUGUGACGGAGGGAACUGUUUUCUUCUCUGAGCCAAAUGAGAUCCAGAGAUCUGCCUCACCCCAGGACGGAUCCCAGUGAAGGCCUGAGCCCCCAGCGUCCAUCUUCGCAAGAAAUCAGUUUAACUCUUAGACUCCUUCCUACAUUCCAUACAUCUAGGAACUCCAGAUGGGAAGUAAUCUAAGGAUUACUCAGCUUGCACUUAUUUCCUCACUCUGUGACUUUGGACCCAAAUGCACCUCCUUAGGGCUGGAGAUUUUAACAAGCACUACCGAAGCGGUUUAGUUUAGAAAAAGCAGUGACACCAAAGGCAGCUGCAGCCUAGGUGGCUUAAAAGUGCUUUUUCUCCCCUGCUGCUGCUGUUUCCUCUGAUGUUUAAAUAUGGCCCAGGGUGCUCGGCUGAUGCCAGGCUCCAAGCAGCCCAGCCUUGCCCUGCUACAGCACUCCCUCUGAGUUCCACCCUCGCAGCCAGGAAGUUCCACAUUUACCUUCCCUGAUUUCCAAAUGCAGCUCUCUGGUGUCAGUCCACAGUGUUUUCCUCAGGUUCCUUGGGUCAGGAACCUCAUGGACCCAAAAACAUUACUUCUCGUUUACCAUUCCCUGGAAGUGGAGCUUUCUUUUAUUUUCAGGCCCAGGCUCACAUCCUACCACUAAAUGAAACACCUUUCAAAAGGGGGAAAAGCCCAACAAAGUAAAAUCUAUUUAGGAACAAGGAAAAAGCAUCUACUUGCAUGUAUAAUAUGUUCUUGAAAUUGUUUAUAACAGUCAAAUAUGAAAGCACUGAAAGGGUCUCUUUCAUAUACACAAAAAUGCUUUUAAUUGUAUAUAAGUGGUGAAAAUACUGGCUCCUGAUGAUGAAGAGGGAGAAUGAAUUAGAAAACAACUACUUUUCAUAAGACAAUAUCUGCUACAGAACUCUAAAACCAGACAACUUGUAGAUUCAAUAAUAUAGAAACUAAUUUAAAAAUACUGUGACUUACAGAUUAAACAAAAGAGUUUGGGGAGGCCCAGCGAGUCACAUACAUAUUCUCAAAAAAAAAAAGAAUGAUCUCAUAUUUCUGAGCCACUCCAUUAGAUGUCAGACAAUGGAAAACCAUUUUCUAAUUUUUGAGGAACAUGGUUUCCAUUAGAACUCUAUUCCCAGUGAAACUCAUAUCUUGUGUAAUAAAGACACCAUUAGGCAUACAAAGCACAUUGCAUAGGUCGUUUACUACAGUAGAAGCUUCACUAGCCACUUUAUUUUGAAAGGACUACUUAUUAGAUAAAGCUCACAGGCCAAGGGUAAGAAAUGACUGCACUCCCAGACAGGACCUCUCCUGCACAGGAGCUGCCACAGAGGCAGCCAGCGCCUCUCACAGAGGCCACCGCAUGGAGAGCUGUGCCGGGGGCCAACUCUAAUGCAUAACCCCUGCCACCAUCCACCAUCCGGAGGUUGGCAAACCAGGUGGCCAUGGGGUGGACUCCAGAACUCUGUCCACCUGCCUCACCCAGACUAUCACCAGCAAAAGGAGAGCCUAGGCCCUGUUCCUGCCUAAGUAACUUAGUCUGGAUCCAGACAUCAAAUCUGACUCAGAUGUGGUUGACCGGUGAACUCAAAACCACACGCUUCUAAUGGAAAUCCAACAACUGGAAAAUGGCCUGAAAAAAGUUUGUCUACUGAGAGCAAUGAAUGUGUACUGUGGGAUACUUAAAAUAAUGGGAGGGGGUACAGCCUCAGGCUUGAGGGGCAGCCUGAGAGAC